UACGUAGGGGGCUAGCGUUGUCCGGAUUUAUUGGGCGUAAAGAGCUCGUAGGCGGCUUGGCAAGUCGGAUGUGAAACCUCCAGGCUCAACCUGGAGACGCCAUCUGAUACUGCCGUGGCUUGAGUCCGGUAGAGGAGCAGGGAAUUCCUGGUGUAGCGGUGAAAUGCGCAGAUAUCAGGAGGAACACCAGCGGCGAAGGCGCUGCUCUGGGCCGGUACUGACGCUGAGGAGCGAAAGCGUGGGGAGCGAACAGG
rnacentral:rRNA from 1 species